UGCUUGGGGCCCCCAAAUUCCUUCAAACUGCCCUGCCCCCACAUCAGGUGCGGACACAGACAGCAGAGGGCCCCUGUGCAUAUGUCAAUUUUUCAGGACCAUCCCCCCACCCAUAUCAGUUGCUCAGGAGGACCCCCCUUAAUGUCAGUUGUUAAUUAAUAAAGGGUUACUCUGGUGGAAAACUUUUUUUUUUCUUAAUCAACUGGUGCCAAAAAGUUAAACAGAUUUGUAAAUUUCUUUUAUUAACAUUUUUUAAUCCUUCCAGUACUUACUAGCUGCUGAAUACUACAGUGGAAAUUCUUUUUGGAACACAGAGCUCUCUGCUGACAUCAUGACCACAGUGCUCUAUGCUGACAUCUCUGUCCAUUUUAGGAACUGCAGAAAAUGUAGAAAACUGCUGCGGUGGCGCUUCCAAGGAAUUAACCCAAAGUCGUGGGUAUAGGUAUAAAGAGGUUGCUGUGUGGCCAGGUGACAGGUGUGGGAAUUUUAAUACAGGAAAAAAAUGGCGCCAAACCAGGUGAGCUGGUGACGUCAUGUGGGAUGGAUGCCGGGGCCAGGUGUGGACUGGGCAAGAGAGACCUACAUAGUACAACAUUUUCAAUAAAAGAGCAUGAAAACCACGUAAAACAUGAAAAAAUGCAUAGGUAUAGUCUUUUACAGGAAUAUUUAGAAGUUCAAAUAGAACCGCGAGAAAUGUCCGUAGUAGCAACCAAUCAGAGAGUUUGCUGGUGUCCGAGGGACCAAUCAGGAGGCAAUGGGUGGAGGCUGUCAUCGCUGUUCUGGGUUGCCGCGGCCGGUAUUUGAAUGGAGACGAGCCUCUUAAAGCUGAUUGGUCGCUUGCUGUGGGAUAGUGUAAAAGCGACCAAUCAGGAUCAUGCCGUACAUGACUGAGUAUAGUUACGCUGUCAUAGGUGAAAGUCCGUGUGGAGAUGUCGUCCAAAGAUGGGCAUGGGGAUAGAGGGCUAGAUUCUAAUUGGCUGUCCGUGAUAUCGAGUGAGCCAAUCAGAGGGGGGACGUAUAAGUCCGGGUUCCAGGUUGCUGCCGCUGGUGGCAGUAAAGUGUCUUUCAAAAAUGUCAGCCAAUCGCUGCUGGGGUCGUCUGGGCGGUGGCCAAUCAGAGAUGAGACGUAUAUAUCCUCUCCGGAAGAUUCCUAGAGGCAUCGGCGGCAAUUCUUUUUUGAACAGUACGACCAAUCACUGCUGGGCAGGUCCGGGCGGUGACAAAUCGUGAAGAAGGAGGUGUUUUGGCGACCAAUCAUGAAGAAGGAGGUCUUUGAACGCUGUCAGGGUGCCGGUAUCAGGCUUGAACUUGGUGGUCAUCGGGUCCGGAUAUCGCUUGGAAUUUUUCCUGGAAAGGCUGCGAUUUACUUGUUGCUUGCAUGAUUUUCUUGCUUGUUGGUAUAAUACAUUUCUGUGCAGCAAUGUGCUGCAAAACCGAUGGGCUAGCUGAUCAGACUGGAGGAAGUUCUUAGGCCUCAUUUGAAUGGACAGCCUAAGAGGCCAUGUUCACCCAAUGGAAUUUCUGAGCAGAAUCAAGUGAAAAAUUUUGCUAAAAAAUUCUGUUGGAGCAGAGUCCCAUUGGUUUUCAAUGGUAGAGUUCUGGGAGGGAAAAUUUAGGGAUUAGAAUGAGUGCUGCUGCUGGAUACACACAAGAAUGCUAGGGCACCACGGUUGCACAGGACAUAUAGAUUUAUUCAAGAAUUGGAAUUGGACAACACAUUUCGGUGCUCACACGUGCCCUCCUCGGGUCCAACAAAAAUCACAGAAUGGCAGGGGAUCAUCAGGUACAUGGACUUCCACCAGUGCUGAGGUUGCAGAAAUCCAAAAGAAAAAGUAGUCCAGUGCAACUCCUAUGUGGAUACAACUUUCUUGACUAUUGCAUCCAUUAAAACAGGUACAUUACAGGAAACACACACAAGCUAUGGUCAGCUUAACGCAUUUCAUGAUUGCCCACUUUAUUACAAACCUUUUUGACAGAGUGGACUGCCAAGUCCAGGGUACAGAAGCCACUCUUUCCCUCCGGCUGAGAAGAGUAACGAGAGAGCACAAUUUGAGGGCCAUUAGCGUGUUGGAGUCACAGGGAUGGGUUGAGCAGUGUCUGUGAUGUCGGAGGUGGCUCUAGCACUUCCCAGAAUAGAGCAGGCUGACAAAAUUCUAGGCGUUACCACAAAAUUUUCAGUCACCUUGAUGACCUGACCCCUGGGAUAUGUCGAGCCUUGAUCUAUACAACUAUUAAAUUAUGUUUAUAGGAGCAGCUUCACCUUCAUUCUCUUUAUUUACACCAGCCAUUAAUCAGUUAGAUUUCAAAAGCUAUCAAGCGAGUGUGCGUGAAAAUCACUAAAUGUAAAGAGGUUAAGUGACUGAACGACUGGCGAUAAAAUGCUAAUGACUGUGAAUAACUGUGAAUCUACAAUAAUUUCACAUGCCUUGACACACUCAGGGCCGGUUUUAGACUAAGUGUGGCCCUGGGCAAAAUAAGAAAUGGGGCCCAUGGGUCACAUGACCAAAGAUUACCAUGUUGAAUUGUGCGGCAUCUCAGCUUAAGGCCAUAACACAAAUGCAUGAUAGGGUCCAAAUCAAAGCUAUAUAGGGGGAGAUUUAUGAAAACUUGUGUAGAGGAUCAGUGGUAGAAUUGCCCAUAGUAACCAAUCAGAUGCCUUUUUAAAAAUGAGAGCAGUGAUCAGCUCGUCUCGUAGGCUGCAGUAUACCAGUGAUCAGCUCAUAGGCCGCAGUAUACCAGUGAUCAGCUCGUAGGCUGUGCUGAUGGUUAUUGACUUAUUUUUAUGCGACAGUUGCGCUUUAACCAUUAAAAUAAAUCAGACCCUAAAACACUCUUUUAUUGUGGCCAUGUUAGAACAGCUCUCACCUGAUCAGAAGCAGUCACAGCACACAGGACUAUUAAAUCCAGUGACCACAGGGGGCGUCUUCUCUGAUUGUAUAUGUUCUCUUCUCCAUCCAGCCCAGGCAAUUAUGAUGAUGUCUCCUGAUGACUGAAGACUAUACCAAGACAUCUGUGGCCCCUUCUGCAGUCUACCCAAAACUCUAUAGUAACACAACCCCCAUCCUUUACACUGCAAUCCUGCUUCGCUAAUGCUGUGCUUGCUGCUAUCCAUUGCCAUGUCUACAGCAUACCUAGGGUACAGUGUAAAAAUCUAAUCAGUAGGAUCCAACCACUGGAACCCCUGGGUGAUUGGAGCAGCAGCACAUGAUCACCUGCA